rnacentral:rRNA from 1 species
CCUACGGGUGGCAGCAGUGAGGAAUAUUGGUCAAUGGACGAAAGUCUGAACCAGCCAUGCCGCGUGCAGGAAGACGGCUCUAUGAGUUGUACACUGCUUUUGUACGAGGGUAAACGGAGAUACGCGUAUCUGUCUGACAGUAUCGUACGAAUAAGGAUCGGCUAACUCCGUGCCAGCAGCCGCGGUAAUACGGAGGAUUCAAGCGUUAUCCGGAUUUAUUGGGGUUAAAGGGUGCGUAGGCGGUCUGAUAAGUUAGAGGUGAAAUCCCGAGGCUCAACUGCGGAAGUGCCUUUGAUACUGUUCGGCUAGAGAGGAGUUGCGGUAGGCGGAAUGCAUGGUGUAGCGGUGAAAUGCUUAGAGAUCAUACAGAACACCGAUUGCGAAGGCAGCUUACCAAGCUACUACUGACGUUGAGGCACGAAAGCGUGGGGAGCAAACAGGAUUAGAUACCCGAGUAGUC